rnacentral:miRNA from 1 species
AUGGGGAGAGGUAGUUUGUGUGUGUAUGUGUGUGUAUAUGUGUGUGUAUGUGUGUGUGCAUGUGCAUGCAUGUGU